rnacentral:rRNA from 1 species
GACGAACGCUGGCGGCGUGCUUAACACAUGCAAGUCGAACGGAUAGGCCCUGCUUUUGUGGGGUGCUCGAGUGGCGAACGGGUGAGUAACACGUGAGUAACCUGCCCUUGACUUUGGGAUAACUUCAGGAAACUGGGGCUAAUACCGGAUAGGAGCUCCUGCUGCAUGGUGGGGGUUGGAAAGUUUCGGCGGUUGGGGCUGGACUCGCGGCUUAUGAGCUUGUUGGUGGGGUAGUGGCUUACCAAGGCUUUGACGGGUAGCCGGCCUGAGAGGGUGACCGGCCACAUUGGGACUGAGAUACGGCCCAGACUCCUACGGGAGGCAGCAGUGGGGAAUAUUGCACAAUGGGCGGAAGCCUGAUGCAGCAACGCCGCGUGCGGGAUGACGGCCUUCGGGUUGUAAACCGCUUUCGCCUGUGACGAAGCGUGAGUGACGGUAAUGGGUAAAGAAGCACCGGCUAACUACGUG